GCCUGGGUGGCUCAGUCAGUUGAGCGUCUGGCUUUGGCUCAGGUCAUGAUCUUGUGGUCUGUGAGUUCGAGCCCCACGUCGGGCU
rnacentral:tRNA from 1 species